CCCAGCCGUAGCUACCCAAGCUUCGCCGCAGGCGCCUAGGGUGGCUCAGGUGUCGGCGCGGCUGCUGGUCUCAGACCCAAAGCAUCCCCACAGAGUAUGGUGACAUCUACAGCCAUAAACGCACGGUCCUGGUACCUGGCCACCUUGGUGUUGAGUUCCAGCACAAGGCACGCAGCCUUUACAGGCAUGGCUACAUACAGCCCAAUAUCAGGAAAGGAAAUGUCCUUUAAAGCCCCUCCCGCUGGACAUGGUGGCGCUCGCCUGUGAUCC
rnacentral:lncRNA from 1 species